GGCCCUCUAGCUUACUGGUUGAAAGCGAACGCCUCAUAAGCGUUGGAGCAUGGUUCGAUUCCAUGGUGGGUCA
rfam:Proteus phage vB_PmiM_Pm5461, complete genome.